ensembl:misc_RNA
UUGGAUACUUGUCAGAAGUUGUCUGCUUACCCACAGAACAGAUUCAGCACAGACAGUGGCAGGACAAGUUUACCUACACUGCUCUGACAACGUGUCUCAACUCUGUUCUGGAAGGAACACAUCUAGGGAUGUUCCUUCUUCAUAUCCAUUCAGUCCUCCCACUCU